AUUGAACGCUGGCGGCAGGCCUAACACAUGCAAGUCGAGCGGAUGAAGGGAGCUUGCUCCUGGAUUCAGCGGCAGACGGGUGAGUAAUGCCUAUGAAUCUGCCUGGUAGUGGGGGAUAACGUCCGGAAACGGGCGCUAAUACCGCAUACGUCCUGAGGGAGAAAGUGGGGGAUCUUCGGACCUCACGCUAUCAGAUGAGCCUAGGUCGGAUUAGCUAGUUGGUGGGGUAAAGGCCUACCAAGGCGACGAUCCGUAACUGGUCUGAGAGGAUGAUCAGUCACACUGGAAGUGAGACACAGUCCAGACUCCUACGGGAGGCAGCAGUGGGGAAUAUUGGACAAUGGGCGAAAGCAUGAUCCAGCCAUGCCGCGUGUGUGAAGAAGGUCUUCGGAUUGUAAAGCACUUUAAGUUGGGAGGAAGGGCAGUAAGUUAAUACCUUGCUGUUUUGACGUUACCGACAGAAUAAGCACCGGCUAACUUCGUG
rnacentral:rRNA from 1 species